rnacentral:rRNA from 1 species
GACGAACGCUGGCGGCGUGCUUAACACAUGCAAGUCGAACGGAAAGGCCCUGCUUUUGUGGGGUGCUCGAGUGGCGAACGGGUGAGUAACACGUGAGUAACCUGCCCUUGACUUUGGGAUAACUUCAGGAAACUGGGGCUAAUACCGGAUAGGAGCUCCUGCUGCAUGGUGGGGGUUGGAAAGUUUCGGCGGUUGGGGAUGGACUCGCGGCUUAUCAGCUUGUUGGUGGGGUAGUGGCUUACCAAGGCUUUGACGGAUAGCCGGCCUGAGAGGGUGACCGGCCACAUUGGGACUGAGAUACGGCCCAGACUCCUACGGGAGGCAGCAGUGGGGAAUAUUGCAGAAUGGGCGGAAGCCUGAUGCAGCAACGCCGCGUGCGGGAUGACGGCCUUCGGGUUGUAAACCGCUUUCGCCUGUGACGAAGCGUGAGUGACGGUAAUGGGUAAAGAAGCACCGGCUAACUACGUG